AACGAACGCUGGCGGCAUGCCUAACACAUGCAAGUCGAACGAGACCUUCGGGUCUAGUGGCGCACGGGUGCGUAACGCGUGGGAACCUGCCCUUAGGUUCGGAAUAACUCCCCGAAAGGGGUGCUAAUACCGGAUAAUGUCUUCGGACCAAAGAUUUAUCGCCUUUGGAUGGGCCCGCGUUGGAUUAGCUAGUUGGUAGGGUAAAAGCCUACCAAGGCGACGAUCCAUAGCUGGUCUGAGAGGAUGAUCAGCCACACUGGGACUGAGACACGGCCCAGACUCCUACGGGAGGCAGCAGUGGGGAUUAUUGGACAAUGGGCGAAAGCCUGAUCCAGCAAUGCCGCGUGAGUGAUGAAGGCCUUAGGGUUGUAAAGCUCUUUUACCCGGGAUGAUAAUGACAGUACCGGGAGAAUAAGCUCCGGCUAACUCCGU
rnacentral:rRNA from 1 species